rnacentral:rRNA from 1 species
AUUGAACGCUGGCGGCAGGCCUAACACAUGCAAGUCGAACGAGUGGCGGACGGGUGAGUAAUGUCUGGGAAACUGCCCGAUGGAGGGGGAUAACUACUGGAAACGGUAGCUAAUACCGCAUACCAUUGGAUGUGCCCAGAUGGGAUUAGCUAGUUGGUGGGGGAACGGCUCACCUAGGCGCCGAUCCCUAGCUGGUCUGAGAGGAUGACCAGCCACACUGGAACUGAGACACGGUCCAGACUCCUACGGGAGGCAGCAGUGGGGAAGAUGGCACAAUGGGCGCAAGCCUGAUGCAGCCAUGCCGCGGGUAUGAUGAAGGCCUUCGGGUUGUAAAGUACUUUCAGCAAGGAGGCGUUACUCGCAGAAGAAGCACCGGCUAACUCCGUGCCAGCCGCCGCGGUAAUUC